UAUGUCUAAGUUCGUAUAACUUGCCCUUGAUUCUCAGAAAUCAUCUAGUUUCAACCUGAAGAUGAUGUUUCAUUCUCCCAAGUCAUCCAUUUAAUUUAUGGAUGCCAUGUGAAAGUGUUGUACUAUUGUGGAUUUGCUAAUUUCUUUGUGGUCUUAUUGUUUGUUGUUUUUUUUUUUGAAUCAGGAAGUGUUUCGGAUAGCAGCUAAGGCGGUCGUUCUUGACGUCAAGUCUCAUAUGAAGAUAAUGAAGAGAUGCGAGAUGGAAGGAAAACCUUACGAAAUCCUCGACGAGAGGACUGUUGUUAUCAAGUUUAAAUCAAAAGAUAUUGAUGCCGUUGAAUUUGAAGGUUCACCUAUUCGAACUUGGAGGGGAAUUUGGGGGAAGGUUAUUAAGAAUUCGUAAAAGGACGGAAUUUCUGUGGUCUUCCGUACACAGUCAAAUGCAUGCUGGAUCAUUUUUAUGUUUUCCACAGUUGUCUGGCGGAAAAAAGAAAGGGGACUGCUAGGAUUGAUGGACAUUUGAGAAGAAAAUUUGUAAGCGUGAUACUUUUACCAUGCUUGUAUUUUGUCAAGUUGGGGCUCCUCGCCACAAGGAGUUGGCAUUAAAGGCUGUUAUUCUGCAGAGAAGUUUGCUCCUGAUCUAUCUUGCUAUGCUCAUCAGCUUGUGCAAGGUCUCAAAUAACAUGUGUCUGGAUAAAGGCCUACUGAGUGUAUGAUCUGCACCGAAUUAUUGCUAUAUGUGUAGAAACAUAGCUCUGAGACUGAGCUUCAGUGAGAAUACGGUACAUUAUAGGAUCUUGUAG